GGUCACGUGACGUGGUUUCUGCCAGACCAGGAAGUGGGAGCCUGAGGGCGGUGCUUGCUUGGUGGAUGUCUGAUGAUGGUGGUGUUGGGCUAGACUCAAACAAGCAUCCAUCAUGACAGCCAUCAAGCACGCUCUCCAGAGGGACAUCUUCACGCCCAAUGACGAGCGUUUACUCGGCAUUGUGAACGUCUGUAAGGCAGGGAAGAAGAAAAAGAACUGCUUUUUGUGUGCGACGGUCACCACCGAGCGGCCCGUGCAGGUCAAAGUAGUCAAGGUGAAGAAAUCUGACAAAGGAGACUUUUACAAACGACAGCUGACCUGGGAGCUUCGCGACCUGACGGAAGUGGACGCCAAAGAUGCAAGCAAGGAAAAUCCCGAAUUUGACCUUCACUUUGAGAAGGUGUACCGCUGGGUGGCCAGCAGCGCCGCAGAGAAGAACUCGUUCAUCUCCUGCAUCUGGAAGCUGAACCAGCGCUACUUGAGGAAGAAGGUGGAGUUUGUCAAUGUCAGUUCCCAGCUGCUGGAAGAACUUCCUAAAGCGGAAGAGUCUGUGCCUAGUGGCGAGAGCCAGAAUGUUGCCGGCGGUGAUGAAGAUGCUCUGGAUGACUACCAGGAGCUAAGUGCCCGUGAGGAGCAGGACAUCGAGAGCAUGAUGGAAAUGUGCAACUACGCCAUCUCCAAUGCUGAGGCCUUUACAGAGCAGCUCUCUAGGGAGCUGCAGGUGCUAGAUGGGGCCAAUAUCCAGUCCAUCAUGGCAUCAGAGAAACAGGUCAACAUCCUGAUGAAGCUGCUGGAUGAGGCCCUAGGCGAGGUGGAUACCAUCGAGGGCAAGCUGAGCAGCUACGAGGAGAUGCUGCAGAGUGUCAAGGAGCAGAUGGACCAGAUCUCGCAGAGCAACCGCCUCAUCCAAAUCAGUAACACCAACAACGGCAAACUGCUGGACGAGAUCCAGUUCUUAGUGCACAACAUGGACCUCUCUAAGGGACACAUCAGAGCCCUGCAAGAUGGAGACCUGUCCUCCCCGAAAGGCAUCGAGGCUUGUAUCAACGCUGCCGAAGCCCUUUUGCAGUGCAUGAACGUGGCCCUGCUUCCCGGCCACGACAAGCUGAUGGCCGUAAAGCAGCAGCAGCACCUUUUUACAGAGCUGAGAGACACGUUUGCUCGCCGCCUCACCAAUCACCUCAACAACGUGUUUGUGCACCAGGGCUACGACCAGAGCUCCACACUGUCCCAGCACACCGUAGAGCUGACCCUGCCCAAACACAGCCCCCUCCACCGGGACCUCCUGCGCUACGCCAAGCUCAUGGAGUGGCUGAAGAACACCCACAGGGAGAAAUAUGAGGGCUUGUCAAGGACCUAUGUGGACUACAUGAGUCGACUGUAUGAGCGAGAAAUCAAAGACUUCUUUGAGAUUGCCAAGAUAAAGAUGGCGGGAACAAGCAAAGAGGCCAAGGGCAAGUUUGCCACGCUUCCGCGGAAAGAGAGUGCACUCAAACAGGAGACGGAAACACAUUUGCACUCAGGCCUUCAUGGCAGUUCAGGGAAGCUGACAGGCUCCACGUCCAGCCUGAACAAGCUGACCGUGCAAGGGGCCAACAGCCGGCGUUCCCAGUCGUCCUCGCUGCUGGACAUGGGAAACAUGUCUGCCUCGGACCUGGACGUGGCCGACCGCACCAAGUUUGACAAGAUCUUUGAGCAGGUCCUAAGUGAACUGGAGCCUCUGUGCCUCGCAGAGCAAGACUUUGUCACCAAGUUUUUCAAGCUGCAGCAGCAGCACACGACCGUAUCGCCUCCUCUUGCUCAGCCGGAGGCAGAGGAAUCGGAUGGCAGCACGCCAUCAAGAAUGCCUCCCCAGGCAGAACACAGACACUCUUUGUCAUCAGACAAAGACGUGGUGCGGCUGAUGAUGAAUAAAAUCUUCCAGAGCAUCGAGACGGAGCUUAACAGCCUCAUCGCUUUGGGGGACAAGAUUGACAGCUUCCACUCGCUGUACAUGCUGGUGAAAAUGAGUCACCACGUGUGGACAGCCGAGAACGUGGACCCGGCCUCUUACCUCAGCACCACGUUGGGAAACGUCUUGGUCACCGUCAAAAGGAACUUUGACAAAUGCAUCUCCGGUCAGAUAAGGCAAAUGGAAGAGGUGAAAAUAUCCAAGAAGAGCAAAGUGGGAAUCCUGCCUUUUGUCACCGGCUUUGAAGAGUUUGCAGAGUUGGCUGAAACCAUCUUCCGGAAUGCGGAGCGCCGAGGGGACCUGGAUAAAGCCUACGUCAAACUUAUCAGGGCGGUCUUCAUGAACGUGGAGAAGGUGGCCAAUGAAAGCCAGAAGACGCCGCGGGAUGUUGUGAUGAUGGAGAACUUCCACCACAUCUUUUCCACGCUGUCCCGACUGAAGAUCUCUUGUCUGGAAGCAGAGAGGCGAGAUGCCAAGUACAAGUACACUGACCACUUGCAGUCCUAUGUCAUCAACUCCUUGGGCCAGCCUCUGGAAAAACUCAACCAUUUCUUUGAGGGGGUAGAAGCCCGCGUGGCGCAAGGCGUCCGGGAGGAGGAGGUGAGCUACCAGCUGGCCUUCAACAAGCAAGAACUACGCAAGGUCAUCAAAGAAUACCCUGGCAAAGAGGUUAAAAAGGGUCUAGAUAACCUCUACAAGAAGGUUGACAAACACUUGUGUGAAGAGGAGAGUCUUCUACAGGUGGUGUGGCACUCCACACAAGACGAGUUCAUCCGCCAGUACAAGCACUUUGAAGAUUUGAUCGGCAGAUGUUAUCCUGGAUCUGGAAUCACCAUGGAGUUCACAAUUCAGGACAUGCUGGAGUAUUUCUCCAGUAUCGCUCAGUCGCAUUAAUUUAACCCUGCUGCCAUCCAGUCUGACCAGAACAAUGACUCACUACUGCCACACGCUGGCUGAACCUACAACAGUCGGCAUAUUCCCAGCCAUGCCAACAGCUGAUCUUAGUCCUCGACUUUCUUCUCCAGCAUGGCUAUACCGGCGUUGGAAUGGACGAGCUUCAUAGAGCCCUGGCUGAACAAGCAUGUGUCGGACAUUUCGGUCUUCUUAGAUCAUGGGUGUCAAACUCAUUUUUAGCUCAGGAGACCACAUGGAGGAAAAUCUCUCCCCAAGUGAGCUGAAUUGGUAAAAUCAUGGCGUGAUAACUUAAAAAUAAAGACAACUUCAGAUUGUUCACUUUGUUCAAAAAAUAGACCCAGCACAUUCUGAAAAAUGACAAAUCAUAAUGUUUGUUUGUUUUUUACACUUACAUUUUGUGGUUAGUAGUAUUCUAUCCUCACUUGUCGUUAUUUACACUUUCUGAAUAAAUGAUGUGAUAAUGUUCUUCAGUUAAAUAGGUUGAAUUAGUGAGUGUGACUGUUGUCUGUCUGUCUGUGUUGGCCCUGCGAUGAAGUGGCGACUUGUCCGCCCGAAUGCAGCUGAGAUAGGCUCCAGUACGCCCCGCAACCCCGAAAGGGACAAGCAGUAGAAAAUGGAUGGAUGGAUAGUGCAGAUGGGUUAGUUAAAGUUAAAGUACCGAUGAUUGUCACACACACAAGGUGUGGUGAAAUUUGUCCUCUGCAUUUGACCCAUCCCCUUGUUCACCCCCUGGGAGGUGAGGGGAGCAGUGAGCAGCAGCGGUGCCGCACCCGGGAAUCAUUUUUGGGGAUUUAACCCCCAAUUCCAACCCUUGAUGCUGAGUGCCAAGCAG